CAUAGCUCAGUUGUUGGAAUAUGAGGCUCUUAAUCUCAGAGUUGUGGGUUCAAGCCCCACAUUGGCUGAAAGA